rnacentral:rRNA from 1 species
AGCAAUAUGUCAGCGGCAGACGGGUGAGUAACGCGUGGGAAUCUACCCAACCCUAUGGAAUAACGCAUGGAAACGUGUGCUAAUACCAUAUACGCCCCCCUUUAAAAUUCCAGGAAGAAUAAAAUGCCUUGGCAUUUUAUGGGGGGGAAAGAUUUAUAGGGGAUGGAUGAGCCCGCGUUGGAUUAGCUAGUUGGUGGGGUAAAGGCCUACCAAGGCGACGAUCCAUGGCUGGUGUUGGAGGGUGAACAGCCACAGUGGAAAAGAGACACGGCCCAAACUCCUACUGGAGGCGGCAGGGGGGAAUAUUGGACAAUGGGCGCAAGCCUGAUCCAGCCAUGCCGCAUGAGUGAUGAAGGCCCUAGGGUUGUAAAGCUCUUUCACCGGAGAAGAUGAUGACGGUAUCCGGAGAAGAAGCCCCGGCUAACUUCGUGCCAGCCGCCGCCGUAA